rnacentral:lncRNA from 1 species
GAUCUGGUAAUUUAAAAGUGUGUGGCACCACCCCCUGACAUAUGGGCUGGCUUGAAAUCGACAAAUAAUUGUAUCCCAUCCCCAUUUGGCUUUAUUUCAAGACAGGAGAUGAAUUCGAUAUUGAGCAAAACUAUUGGCUGAGUGAAAAAUAGAUGUUCUUGAAGCCAAAAAAGAAUAUAAAAGGUGGAGAAAAGCUGUGAAUAGGUCAUCAGAGAGUGACAAAGGCAUUUUAUUAGGGGAAAAGGUCAUGUGCAGAGAGAAACCCCUGCCGUCCCAAAGAUACCAUAUAUGGAAACAGAAUAAAUCUCCAAGGAUGCCUGCAGCAACCC